rnacentral:rRNA from 1 species
GCUAGCUCCAUUCGCUCUCCCAGUCACUCUCCCAGAUCCGCUCGUCGGCGGCCCGCGUCCCCAUCGCCAGCCUCCCCUCUGCCACUCCCCCUCGACGUCGGUCUCUCUGCCUCUCCCUCUCGACGUCGCCGGCCUCUUCCACCACCCGUCCUCCAGUCACAGUCUGUAUGCGCCACUGAAAAAUUUGAUUUUUUUCCGCCGGUGACGAGCUUCUAUGCGGUGGAGGCGCGCGGGCGCUCGAUCUACGUGCGCCGGUGGAUCCACCCCUCCCUAGCUCCUACCUCCACCCCUACAGAAGGCGAAGAAGACUCGGCCCAGCUCCCUCCUCUCCCGGAUCCCCAGGCCCAGCACGACGUCGCCGGCGGCCCCGCCGGCGCUCGGGCGCUUGAAGAGGCGGAAUCGGAGCUGCUGCUGGUGGUGGAGGCCCCCGGGGGAGGCACUGGGGGAGGAGGCCUCCGCCGCGUCCUUGGGCGGGCUGCCCAUGCCGUCAGUCCGCGGCGAGCGCAGGGAGCCACUAGUGGCGAACAAUUCCGUGGCGGCGGCGCCGGACUACGGGGACUACAGGGAGUUCCUGUCCCAUUACUGCAGCAGGUUCUGAAGAAUGGUGUGGAGGUGAAGUUGAAGAGGAAUGCCCUGAGUGUCUUGGAAGCUCCAGCUACUGUUGCCUUGGCACUUGUUGGCUAA